AUCAUCAUCUCUUCACUUGGGUUUGUUUUUCAAAUGUUGGUAGUAGAAAAACACGCACAAAUCCUAUAUUUCAAAACAAACAAAAAAUAAUUUCAAGUAGAGCUGUGAAUCAAAGUUGUUCCUUGUUGUUUGGUGGGGCUAUUGAUAUAGUUUUUGAGGUUUUGCCCUCAUAUGAUACUUGAAUAUGUUCUACCGAAUAUUACCCUGACGACGGAAACGUUGUUAGACUUUUCUGACUGGCACUCACCGACUGCUUAGGCAUACAACCCCAUCUCAAGCAGGGCUACAUAUACGGGUUGAGUUAGAGCUCCCACUUUCGGUAGUGAAUUGUUUUGAGAUUUUUGCGUCGCCGAAGCCACUUAUCUCGUGUAUGGACCUGACCUCUGAGGAGACUAAUCCCUUCAUGACUGAUGAGGAGGAAGAAAUUACUUCCAAGAGAGAUACUACGUCAGAAGGAACUUGUGCAGUGUGUGGAGGUCGCCCUUGUUACUGUAGUUGUUAGUGAAUGAUUAGAUUAGUUUUUGUUGUAUAGGCCUAGUGUUUUCUUUUGGUGAUUGUACUUAUUUUGUUAUGGGAUACCUUGCCAAUUGACUUUUUGGUGGGUUCAUGUUUCCUUUUUUUGACGUGACCAUGAUGGGAUAACAUUCUUGGAGCAGUACUUAUGUACAAGUGUCUGCUGAGAAUACUCCAGGGGUAUGAGCAGUGUAUAAUAGGUCUCAUAUCUCCAGUAUUUUUCUAUUUUGUAUACUUUGAAUUAUUGUCCCAAAACUAUCUUAGCUUGAUUGUAUAGAUGAUGUAAUUACCUAUGACCCUUUGUCGUUUUGUGUUA